AGUGAACGUUGGCGGCGUGGAUUAGGCAUGCAAGUCGAGCGAUCGUAGCAAUACGGGAGCGGCAAACGGGGUAGGAAUACAUCGGAACGUACCCUUUGGUUGAGGAUAGCGUUGGGAAACUGACGGUAAUACUCAAUAAAGUCGAGAGACCAAGGGUUUACUGCCGGAGGAGCGGCCGAUGCGAUAUUAGGUAGUUGGUGGGGUAAUGGCCUACCAAGCCUGAGAUGUCUAGGGGGUGUGAGAGCAUGGCCCCCACCACUGGGACGUGAGAAACUGCCCAGACACCUACGGGUGGCUGCAGUCGAGGAUCUUCGGCAAUGGGCGCAAGCCUGACCGAGCGACGCCGCGUGUGGGAUGAAGGCCCUUGGUUGGUAACCAACUGUCAGGGGGACGGAAAUGCGCGCGGGUACGUCCCGUGCGUUUGACAGAGCCCCACGAGGAAGCACGGGCUAAGUUCGUGCCAGCAGCCGCGGUAAAGU
rnacentral:rRNA from 1 species